CAUUCACAACGAUAAAAUGGAAUUCACUGCGAAAACGUAAAUAAUGUUUGUGACAAAAUAAACAAAAAAACAACAACAAUCAUGCCCAAUGGCUCGUCAAGUGUGUGGCGAAUAAAUGGCAGACGACUGACAACAUAGAACAAAUAUUUCUAUGAUCUAUGGAUCUGGACGGAUCAUGUAGCUCCAGCACCUUUUCUGGCUACAAGGGCCCUAGCCAAAGCGAGCCAAAAAAGACGACACUUCUUGGAUGGCUGAAAUCGCUGUUGAGCCACAGCCGAAAUAAUUGCUACAUCUUCAUCAUCCAUUAUAAGAAAACAAUUAAUAAAUGUUCCAAGCAAAUUUAAUGUACCUGUUAUUGGCAUCAGCUGUUUUUUACGGAUGGUGGAUGGUGGCAGUGUGAAUCGGAGUUUCACAUCUGUCAAAAGUCCCACCAUUCCCCUGGGAUGGGCUCAGUUCGCCGAGCCUAUAAGGUUUUUACGUUCAGAUGAUAUCCAACCUAUUCAACAAUCCAACAACCGCGUUUCCAAGCCAUAUUUAUCCGAAAAAAUAGUUGGCGCCUAUACACAUUUCAAAUCGUACUUUAAAUUGUAAAUCGUUGAAGAUUACAAAAAAAAAAAUUUUAACAGACACAAUACAUAUUGGAGAAACCACAUAUUGGUGGUAGUAUUAUUUUGCUGCCAUUAAAUAAAAAUAUAAUGCACGCAAGUCCAAAUGGACUGCAUAUAUUGAAAAUCUGGCUACACAGUACUGCGGAUUUCGGGGUACUAAUAAUAAUUCUGUAAUAAUUCCGUCAAUAUCGACCGGGAUAGUGAAUAGUGUGAAUAGCCUAAUAGAUACAACUGCGGCUCUAUUGUUAUUUCUGCAAUCAAGGCGUCGCCAAUAAUGCGGAUUAAUCUGGAAAAUCUGGAGGAGAUUGUUCGGAAAAUGCUUGAAGUUCAGAAGGAGCAGCAGAUAUUAGAGGAUGAGCACCAGGAAACAAAGCGAGAGAUACUCCAGCAAAUUCCGAGCAGCCAAGGCGAAACCAACUUUCAAACAGAGCUACUGCCAUUUUUAAGGUAGUCCAAAAAAUAACGAUUAUUGUACAUCUAUGGAUUGUUUUAUUAUAGUAUUUUGUUCAAUUCUCUCUUAGUCAUUGCUUAAGCCGGUCGUGUUUCUGGCUCCUGAAUUCUGUGCCCUUUGAUUAAAUAUUAUUAAACAUUA
rnacentral:sRNA from 1 species